AUACCGGAUACCCCCAUCGAGUCGCAUGGCUUGGUGAGGAAAUGGAUUCCGCUUCGGGAGGGGCUCGCGGCCUAUCAGCUUGUUGGUGAGGUAACGGCUCACCAAGGCGUCGACGGGUAGCUGGUCUGAGAGGACGAUCAGCCACACUGGGACUGAGACACGGCCCAGACUCCUACGGGAGGCAGCAGUGGGGAAUCUUGCACAAUGGGCGAAAGCCUGAUGCAGCAACGCCGCGUGAGGGACGAAGGCUUUCUGAGUUGUAAACCUCUUUCAGCAGGGACGAUUGUGACGGUACCUGCAGAAGAAGCCCCGGCCAACUACGUGCCAGCAGCCGCGGUAAUACGUAGGGGGCAAGCGUUGUCCGGAUUUAUUGGGCGUAAAGAGCUCGUAAGCGGCUUGGCAAGUCGGAUGUGAAACCUCCA
rnacentral:rRNA from 1 species